AGCGAACGCUGGCGGCAGGCCUAACACAUGCAAGUCGAGCGGCCGUAGCAAUACGGCGGCGGCAGACGGGAGAGUAACACGUGGGAACGCGCCCUUCGGUUCGGGAUAACUCAGGGAAACUUGGGCUAAUACCGGAUACGCCCUUACGGGGAAAGAUUUAUUGCCGAAGGAACGGCCCGCGUCCGAUUAGCUAGUUGGUGAGGUAACGGCGCACCAAGGCGACGAUCGGUAGCUGGUCUGAGAGGAUGACCAGCCUCACUGGGACUGAGACACGGCCCAGACUCCUACGGGAGGCAGCAGUGGGGAAUAUUGGACAAUGGGCGCAAGCCUGAUCCAGCCAUGCCGCGCGGGUGAUGAAGGCCCCAGGGUUGUAAAGCCCUUUCAGCGGGGAAGAUAAUGACGGUACCCGCAGAAGAAGCCCCGGCUAACUUCGUGCCAGCAGCCGCGGUAA
rnacentral:rRNA from 1 species